CAGCCACUUGUCCUACUGGGUUCGCCGGGGCAGUAUGUUUCCCAAGCUCCCAGCUGAAGGAUGAGCUGAACUUUGGAUAAGCUGAGCCUAAGCUUGUGGAAAAUAAAACUUGGAAAACUGGCUAGCUUGCCACCUUUCAACUAAUGCCUGUGGAUUCCCAGCAGAGGUACAAGCCCUGUGUAAAAGCAGAGAGCGUUUUAGCAUGUCUGUGAGGUGUGGCUGGAGUGUAGGCAUCUUAAUCCAGAAUGUGAACUCGGAACUAUCAGGUCCUUGCUCCCCUUCAAGCCAUGUCGCGUUGGGAUGCUCAGAGGCUCAAGCUAUGUUGCGUUGGGAUGCUCAGAGGUUCUGGGAACAGUUGUACUCCCAGGGACGAAAGCCAGGUGAUGUAUCAAUUUGGAACAGCUUAUUUUUGUGUAAGAACUUCCUCUGUUUGUAUUAGGGGAAUGUGUUUAUUCUAGGAUUGCAUAAAAGUCCUAAUAAUGGGGCAAGGGAGGCUCACUUUCUGUUUUGAGUUCUAUGACUUCUCAUAGAGGGCUUUCUGUGCAGAAUGAGUUUACCUAUGAAGCAAUUAAUGUGUACUCUGGAAAACUGUAGUAUCGAUCUAAGGUUACAGAUAACCAUAGACUGGCCUUCCCCAGCUAUCGUUUUGUCGCCUGACCUAGGACGGCCUAUGCAUUUCCUACUCACGGCCGCUGCCCAUUGUCGUGUGCUCCUCUACCUGGUGAUACGGCUCAAAUGGGUUUAUCUGCAAGAACUAACAGUCUCACGGUUCUGUUAAAGCCUCUGGGCUGACCUAAAGCCCGCUGAAGCAUUGGAUCAAGUUGUCGGUUAGAAAAGCUGCUGCAAGCUGCUUUACCAUACCUCUGGAUGAGCCAUGAAUGGCAGAAAAAUGAGUUUUAGACCAGUUGUUAGAAGCUUCUAUGGAAGUUUUCACGUCAGUUUUGUUCUCAGCUGCCUCCCUGAAUGGCCUGGAGACUGAGUUUGAAUGGCCGGGCGAGCCUUUUUACAGGAAGAUCUCCUUUCCUUUGGUGCUUGUUCCCAAGAUGAAGCGCAACUGAAUGACCUUUAUCAAGAGAGAAAGCGUACAAGAUUUCACCUCAUUAUUUUCAGAGGAACUAGUUAGUCACGGUCCUCAGAAAGCUGGGCAAACCUGUACUUCAAUUUCUGUGUUGGAACUAUUUUGCCGGCUAAUUGUAACCUGCAAAGGGACGCUCAUCUGUGAGUGAUUGCUGCAUUUUGCCCACGUUGGAGACAAAGCCAAGCAAGGUCAUGUGAACUCCAUAUCCACAUCGUUGCAGCACGGUUGCUCUCCUCGAACGUUUCAAGUUCUUUCAGCCAUCAUCAGCAGUAGCUGCUGUCUCCUGUUAGGCCAGGCCGUUGUGUUGGCAGUACUUUGGGUUUUUAGCAGAAAAACAGGCCUUGCAGUAGACUGGUCAGUGGCAAGCAGGAAAGGCAAGCUGCUAAAGCAGGACUAUUUACUUAGGCUGAGCUACCAGUUUUCUGCAUUUUCUCUAGGUGUUAAAAAGCAGUUUCCCAAGAAGAAAGGUAAGAGAGAGAAGAGGGGACAGCGCUAAGGAGGAGGAGGCGUGUGCAUUGAGAAAAUAUUUGCUCUGGAAAUAAGAACUGGAGGGGUAAAAAAAAUAUGAACUGUCAGAAAAAUAAGCUGAAUAUUUAAAAGAUUGCAAUGCUGAUGCUACUGUGUGCUUGUGGUCAUCCUUGCUGGAGCAGAGACGGUGAGAUACAUUCAAGGAGUCAGAAAGAGAUGCACAUAUUAAGGCAGUCGUAACAACGUUAGCCGCAAUUCCAGGCUAGCUCGUUACUACCUGUCUGGGAAAUUACAGCAUCCAGAAGGACGUUAUUGUUUAUGCUAUUAGAAAUCAACUAUAAAAUUUGCUCAAAGUCUGUUCGAGUUUCAGACACCCCGGAGACAGUAGCUUUUCAUCCUAACCAUUCAUAGUGAUAUUCAGGUAUUGCCAGCUUAGGGGUGGGCAAGAACACCAGAACAGGCCCUUUACAAACCUUAAGUAUUACUCGCUAGCUUAAGUUGCAGUCCUGCCUAC